UGCUUUGUACAGUUUUACAAGCCUAGAAGGUUUGCGUUCGUCUCCUUAUUUUGUAAUGACAUUUUCUUGGAGCAUGUAACAUCUGAUCGUCUGAUAUUUCUAUUGAUUAUCAGGGAAAAGAAAAAGAGAAAGCUCUUUAGCUGACAUGCAUAUUGAUUCCUAAAGUUAUUUGUAUCAUUUAUCAAUUGUUUUUGGAUACCUCCAAUUAGAAAGGAAAUGGUAAAAUGCUGCUAAGCGUGAAUUAUUAUUGCUUUCAUCAGCAGCUCAAGCAGUUCAUCAAGAUCGUUGACAAAAUGUAGAGCAUCUUUUCUUCUAAUAAAGUUGAUGACGUCAUCAUUUGGCGCAUAGAAAUUAGUUU
rnacentral:lncRNA from 1 species